rnacentral:lncRNA from 1 species
AGUUUCACACUAACAUUGACCCAGAGCAACUUCCAGUACUGCAAACUCCAUUCAUGGAGAACUGUUAUGAGGAUGGAGACCUAGAGCUGAAUCAGGUACACACCUAAUGGUAUGAGUGGCAGUUUCAAAUCCAUUCUACACUCUGCUGCAGCUGACAAUAGGCAGCAUCAGCAGCUGAAAGAUGAGAGUUUGGGUGAAGAUAUGGUCUUUCUGCUUGGUGGGUUUAGAGAAAGGAACUGGACCUUCCCAGACCAGCAUCUUGUUUUUGGAAUCCAGCUGUCUGCAGGAAGCACACACCCUGCUCUGUCCUUUGUGACUAGGUAUAUUCAUUUAACAAGGGGAGUCUCUGAGGAGCUAUCAAAAACUGCUUGCCAUCUUUCCAAAUCAUCUCUGUCUGCAGUGACCAUGUCUUAAUCCUGAAGGAAAACAAGGUGGAAAUUGAUUUUUACUUCUCUGCAGCUAAGUAUGUGGCAGUCUUGGCCACAUGGUGACUCAGCAGAGGAGCCUAUGUACUGGCUGUCCUGAUGCUCUUCCUGAUUCAACUGAUUCUCUACACUUGAUCUUAGCCAAAAGGCCGAGAAGCAAUGAUUCAACUGAUUCUCAAAAGGACACCGCUGCAGGAAUAAACCCACUUCUAAAUAUGGUACACUUGGAAAGUUGUCCAGCUCGCAAUGUCAGAGUCACAGACUUCAUGCACACUCAUCUCAAGUCAAUGUUAUCUAACACAUUUCCACUAAUUAUUGGAUGACACUAGCAAGAAACUCUGAUAUUUUUCACCUAACCUUUGCUAAUUUAAAUGUGGCCAGCCCACCCUCAUACUGCAUUGUGAUGGGGAUAUAAAAGCCAAUGAAAGAUAUCAUUAAUUGUUAACAAUAGUCAUCACUGACAACUUCCUGUUGAAUGUCACUGUUACUCCUGCUACUGCUACUACCACUACCAUUUAUGAAGCUGCCAUUAUUACUAACUCAAAGCUUUCACAGAUACAGAAACAGGUGUAUUUUUUGUUUUGUUUUGUUUUUUGUUUUUGUUUGAGAGAGAGUCUUACUCUGUCGGCCAGGCUGGAGUGCAGUGGCACAAUCUCGGUUCACUGCAACGUCCGCCUCCCGGGUUCAAGCAAUUCUUGUGCCUCAGCCUCCCGAGUAGCUGGGAUUACAGGCAUGUGCCACCAUGCCUGGCUAAUUUUUGUAUUUUUAGUAGAGACGGGGUUUUACCAUGUUGGCCAGGCUGGUCUCAAACUCCUGACUUCAGGUAAUCCACCUGCCUAGGCCUCCCAAAGUGCUGGGAUUACAGGCAUGAGCCACCGUGCCUGGCCAGAAACAGGUGUAUCUUUAAAGCAUAACUUCCUCUCUGCAUCUUGCUUCCCCUCUUUCUGUCCCUUCUCCUCUCCCACCCCCACAGUUUUGGCUUCACUUUGCUCAGGCUGUGACAACUGUCUUUAAGGGAGCUAACUUUUAUCUGACUGUAAAGCCAAGCAAACUAAUCUUGCAAAACUGUUCUGCCACAUAGGUUGGUCUCUUCCUGUUUGGAAUUCAUCUAUAUAUUAGCAACUUGGAAAGCCUUUGAGCUGAGCUAGUGCGCAAAGCUGCACCUUAGACUGUGGUUUACAGUGCUGCUUAAUUGUCACAACGGUGUCACUCACCUUGUCCUCACCUAACCUGCAAGGUAGACAUUUAGGCUGCUUUCUUCAUCAGUGUAAGGUGAAAUAGCAGAUUGGUGUGUAAAAAGUGUGGCUUGGAGUGUGGUGGUAUGAACUGUGGGAUUAUUUACUAUAGGGUCUCAUUGCAAAUCCUUUAGAACACUUGCCUCUUACACCUUUUGUCUGUCUGCUCUUAAAUAUUUUCUGUCCUUCCAGCAUGCUAUCUCUACCUAACAGAAGGGGUCAUAUCUGUCUCAACUAAAAGUCAUUCCAUUUGGGUCAUUCGUCUGGAGGCUGAGACAGUGGAAGAGUCAAACUUGCCCUGAGCUUCACUCAGCCAGUACCUGUCUCCUCUGCCCACUGUCCAGCAACUUACCCUGACCCAUCCUUUAAGGAACUUGCCAAGAGAGAGCAGAAUACUCUUUCUUUCUCUCUCUCUCUCUCUUUUUUUGUCUUUCAUUUAUUCUUUGGAUAUAAACUGCAGACCUACUGGUUGUAAAGCACUGAGUUUCACAGUGAGGGCAACAAAAGAAUAGAACACCUGGUUCCUAUUCUGAGAGGGUCACCUCUGUUCACACAACUUCUGCCCAUCUGACUCAAUCUACUAGACUUCAUGUGGCAACCAAACUAUACUGUCAAGUACCCUCUGAACCCGCCUGCCCUUCCUGCCUGCAUGCGUCAUGGAAGAGCUGCCUUUGCCCCAGGACACUGCUCUGGCCCCAUUACCAUCACCAUCACCAAGGAAAAUACAUCCCUUAUAUUUCAAAGCCCUAGUUCAAGCAUGUCUUCCUUUCAGGCAGAUAAAAUUAUUUUAUGCUUAAAGAUGCAGAAAAAAUGACACACACACACACACACACACACACACUCAUAAAACAACUUUAGAGUCUAUAAGAUCUCAUUCUGCACUUGGGUGCUUACUAAAAAUAUCUCACUGGAAGAAUAACUAGCCUUAGUUUCCACAUCUGCAAAAUGGAGAUAACAAUACUAUAAAAUGAUUAUGGCUUUUUGAUGAUGUAGUUUGCAUAAAUGGCCUAGCCAAGUACCCGGCACCCGUAGGUACUCUACAAAUGCUAGUCAGCAUCCCUUCUUGGAAAUCUCCACGAUUAAAUGAUAUCUUAUGCAGCUGUUUGCAGCUUAUCUCCUGUUAGACUCCAAGCUGCUUAAGAAUAGUGACUAUGGGCUUAUUCACAUGGGGUUCCCUGCAGCCUUGCUUAGUGCUUUGUACCUAACAGAUGCUAAGGCAUAUUGGAUACAACAGUUUAUUACUGUAAAAAUACAAAUGACCAUAGGUCUGGAAAGAGCCAGGCUCAGCAGGGUACAAAGCAGGCCUGGGGGUACAAAGCCCAGGCUCUUUAGAACCUUUGCCUUAGCUCAGCAAGGUUCUCAAGGGUGGAGUAAUUGCAGAGAGAAAAUGGCAGGCUCCAUGUGCAGGCUUAUGUGAUUUAGGGCCACAGACUGACCCUUCCUGGGGUCACCCACAAGAUGAAUCAGGAAAAGAGAGAACAGAGAUGGGGCCAGCUGCUCCCAGAUCCUUAGACAUUCUAAAUAAGGGGGAGAGACUCAGUCUUUUCUGAUUAAUCUUUGAUGAUUUAUUCUUUGGACAUCAUUUAAAAGGAGCAUUUUAAAGUAAAUUAAUUGAACUCUCAUGACCUUUUACCCUACUAAUAUCAUCAAAAGAAACUAGAUCUUGAAUUUUAAAAAGCGCUUGAUUUAUUUUCUGUGACUUACAAACUACUGAAGAACAUCAGUUUUUAUUUUUUGAAAUUAUGAAAACUCCAGCUUUUAAAGCAAGAAGUCAAAACAGCUCAGUUUUGAAACAUCCCAAUUUUAGCAAAUGAGUAUUGAGUGAAAGGUGUCAUAGACAUUGGUAAAAGAUAAAUAUGUAAUUUAAUACACAGAAAACUGGGUAAGUAUUGUCUUCAAAAAGCCAAUUCCCCUUCUACCACACUGACCCUGAUGGUAUUCUUGAGUCCAAAUGACUUGGGUAAAUUCUGAUUAGUAUAAACCAGUUUUUUUUUUUUUUAAUUAUUUUACUUUAAGCUCUGGGAUAUAUGUCCAGAACAUGCAGGUUUGGUACUUAGGUAUAUAUGUGCCAUGGUGGUUUGCCACACCUUAUCAACCUGUCAUUUAGGUUUUAAGUCCCACAUGCAUUAGGUAUUUGUCUUAACGCUCUCCCUCCCCUUGCUCCCAACCCCCUGACAGGUCCCAGUGUGUGAUGUUCCCCUCCCUGUGUCCAUGUGAUCUCAUUGUUCAACUCCCACUUAUGAGUGAGAACAUGUGGUGCUUGGUUUUGUGUUCCUGUGUUAGUUUGCUGAGAAUGAUGGUUUCCAGCUUCAUCCAUGUCCCUGCAAAGGACAUGAACUCAUUCUUUUUUAUGGCUGCAUAGUAUUCCAUGGUGUGUAUGUGCCACAUUUUCUUUACCCAGUCUAUCAUUGCUUGGCAUUUGGGUUGGUCCCAAGUUUUUGCUAUUGUAAAUAGUCCUGCAAUAAACAUACGUGUGCAUGUGUCUUUAUAGUAGAAUUUAUAAUCCUUUGGUAUAUACCCAAUAAUGGGAUUGCUGGGUCAAAUGGUAUUUCUAAACCAGUGUUUUUUUGUUUGUUUGUUUGUUUUGUUUUUUUUAAAGUGCAGGAAGCAGUUUAUUAAUUAAUUCUAAAAUCAAUUUAGUACUUUGAAUCAGAAUUUUUUAAAUUAAUUGAUAGUAUAAAGAAUAAAAUAGAAUGGAAAAUAUCUGGAGGUACUGCACAUAAGGAUUCCAAUUUCUAUUUUCAGAACUUUCAUUUGUAAUUUAUGUACGCAUCUAACGUGUAUUUACGUGUAUACUGAGUUAGGGUGUACAACUUUUCCCUGAGGCUGUAUCUCAAAAACUUUGGAAGCUGAAGAAUUUGUCCAAAUCUAUGUUCCUUUUUGUUUGUAAAUCACCUGAUGAUGGUGAUAUAGCUGUGGCCAACGAAAUGUCAAGGGAAGUCUGCUGGGGAAGGUAGACGUAGGAUAGGAGUAUGGGAAAAAAUUAUUCACUCAAAAGCAUGAUGCACAGAGGAGCUAUGAUCUUUUCUUGUUUUCCUCACUGGAUGUUGUCAUGUCUGUAUGUACUUCCUGGAACUGUGGCACCAUCUUACAACCAUGAAAGGAGCUCACAUGAAAUCAUGUUGAACAUAGCAGAGCGGGAAGAUGGAAGGAAUCCGAGAUCUAUGUUUGAUGUUAAGCGAUGAUGUUAAAAACUUAAAAAACUCCAGAACUCUCUUACCCCUGGGCUUGUUAUAAUAAAAAGAUAAUAAUCCUCUUAGUGUUUAAGG